rnacentral:rRNA from 1 species
GACGAACGCUGGCGGCGUGCCUAAUACAUGCAAGUCGAGCGCAGGAAAUCAUCCGAACCUUUCGGGGGGACGUUGAUGGAAUGAGCGGCGGACGGGUGAGUAACACGUAAAGAACCUGCCCUCAGGUCUGGGAUAACCACGAGAAAUCGGGGCUAAUACCGGAUGGGUCAUCGGACCGCAUGGUCCGAGGAUGAAAGGCGCUUCGGCGCCGCCUGGGGAUGGCUUUGCGGUGCAUUAGCUAGUUGGUGGGGUAAUGGCCCACCAAGGCGACGAUGGAUAGCCGAACUGAGAGGGGGAUCGGCCACACUGGGACUGAGACACGGCCCAGACUCCUACGGGAGGCAGCAGUAGGGAAUCUUCCACAAUGGACGAAAGUCUGAUGGAGCAACGCCGCGUGAACGAUGAAGGCCUUCGGGUCGUAAAGUUCUGUUGUAAGGGAAGAACAAGUGCCGCAGGCAAUGGCGGCACCUUGACGGUACCUUGCGAGAAAGCCACGGCUAACUACGUGCCAGCCGCCGCCGUAA